rnacentral:rRNA from 1 species
UGCAGUCGAGGGGUAACAGGAAAAGCUUGCUUUUUUGCUGACGACCGGCGCACGGGUGCGUAACGCGUAUACAAUCUACCUCUUACUGAGGGAUAGCCCAUGGAAACGUGGAUUAAUAUCUCAUAGUAUUAUGAAUUGGCAUCAAUUUAUAAUUAAAGGUUACGGUAGGAGAUGAGUAUGCGUCUUAUUAGCUAGAUGGUAAGGUAACGGCUUACCAUGGCAACGAUAAGUAGGGGUCCUGAGAGGGAGAUCCCCCACACUGGUACUGAGACACGGACCAGACUCCUACGGGAGGCAGCAGUGAGGAAUAUUGGACAAUGGGCGAGAGCCUGAUCCAGCCAUGCCGCGUGCAGGAAGACUGCCCUAUGGGUUGUAAACUGCUUUUACAGAGGAAGAAUCGCACCUACGUGUAGGUGUUUGACGGUACUCUGCGAAUAAGGAUCGGCUAACUCCGUGCCAGCAGCCGCGGUAAUACGGAGGAUCCAAGCGUUAUCCGGAAUCAUUGGGUUUAAAGGGUCCGUAGGCGGAUUUAUAAGUCAGUGGUGAAAGUCUUCCGCUCAACGGGAGAAUUGCCAUUGAUACUGUAAAUCUUGAAUUAUUAUGAAGUGGUUAGAAUGUGUAGUGUAGCGGUGAAAUGCAUAGAUAUUACACAGAAUACCGAUUGCGAAGGCAGAUCACUAAUAAUAUAUUGACGCUGAUGGACGAAAGCGUAGGUAGCGAACAGGAUUAGAUACCCUGGUAGUCUACGCCGUAAACGAUGGUUACUAGCUGUCCGGCCUAAUUGAGGGCUGGGUGGUUAAGCGAAAG